AGAGAGGUGCGUGGUGUGCGCGUGUGCGUGCCCCUCUUGUCGCUCUCCGCACCCCCCCCCUCUCCUGUGCGAGUGUGUGCUGGUGGAGGCGGCUGACUGAGGCGACGGCGCAGGCAAGGGCAGCAGCCAAGCAUACACGGAAACACACCUAUACACUUACUCACAUAUACCCCUAUCCACGCUGGCAGGGCGCUGCAGCCGAAGGAGGACAGGAGAAUAUGCGUUGGAGCGGAGCAGAGGCGGGGCUGCUUUCCUGCUCGCUCCUCUGGCGUCUGGCUCGAGUCCGUCUGCGUGUGCGCCCCCUGUGUCGCUGUGUCUCCUCGCCUCUCUCCUGCGCGAUUUGUGUCGAUGGCUUCGUUGCUGACGCACCCCACCGAGUCCUCCGGACUCCGCCGUGGGAAGUCACCACGCCGCAUGUUACGGCACACAGGGCCCUGACCUGGGGCUGUGCAACGUUCUCCCUGGGCUCGUGCGGCACGUAGAGCCACCACUCCCCACGAACGCCCUGCUACCCUUUGUUACCCCCUCCCCACCGACAGACGCCACCGCCUCCGCCGUGGAGAGCGGGACCGUGAGGCCGGCAGCGCUCGCAUGACGGCGUGCGGCGCCGCUGAGGCAUGCGCGUAGGGGAACGGGGAGGGACGGGGCAGGACAGGCCGAGCCCGUUAGGCGCAUGACCCGGUGCAGUGGCAGGACGGCUCGUCCUCGACGACGCGGAUGUGGCUGCCGUCCCACAGGGCGUAGGGGUGCACGGUGGCUGUACGCGCGCAUCUGCCGGCUUGUGCGUGGUGGCGUGGAGGCGGUAAAAAGCGGGUGCAUGUCUCCCGUAUUCAGACGGCAGGUACAUGGAUGCGACUGAACGACGAGUGCAUAUGUAUUUUCAUCUAUAUCUGUGUGUGUGCGCACCAAGACCACCGCCUAACGCCUCACAUGACGUUGUCCUCGCCUGACAGGGCGGAGGGCGUUUGCUUCUCCCUUCUCUCUUGCUUGUGUUUUGUUUUUGUGCUUCGUGACGCGCCUUCCUGCGCGCGUGCCUCAUCGCUCUCAUGCUUGCCUCCCUUUUCCGACUCCCUCACCCCGACAACGCCACCGCCACCACUGCCAUCUGCAUCUGUUCCCGAGAGGACGUGUAGAGCUGCGGGCACGCCGCGCUCUGUGCUGGUGCCCGUGGUCGUGCUGCGCCGUCGCAUGCAGGCGCGCGCUGUUGCAUUCCUCGUUCGCUGCCCAUAUUUUUCCUUUGCGUGUAUGUGCCAGCCAAUGGCCCAUGCGCCCCCCGCUGCGCACGCGUCGCAGUGUCACUUGCCUGUCUCCUCACCACUGCCUCCCCCGCCCGUCUCUCCCCGUCUCUCCGUCCCUCUCUUCCUCCCCCCCCCUGCACACUGCUGCCCACGCCGCCCAUCCCUCCUCGGCCCCUCACAACACACCCGCACACAACAACACGCCCAACAACAACGCGUGCGCGCGCACGCCACCGCAACACAG
rnacentral:misc_RNA from 1 species